rnacentral:rRNA from 1 species
GGGAGUCAGACUGCACGAGAUAAGUUGGGCAGUCAAAAGGGAAAGAGCCCAGACCACCGGCUAAGGUCCCAAAGUGCGUGUUAAGUGGAAAAGGAUGUGGGAAUUCGAAGACAACUAGGAUGUUGGCUCAGAAGCAGCCAUACAUUCAAAGAGUGCGUAACAGCUCACUAGUCGAGAGUUCCUGCGCCGAAAAUGUCCGGGGCUGAAACACGACACCGAAGCCGUGGACUCGCAAUGCGAGUGGUAGAGGAGCAUUCUUAAAACCGACGAAGCUGUACCGGAAGGAGCAGUGGAGGGAUAAGAAGAGAGAAUGCCGGAAUGAGUAGCGAGAGAAAGGUGGGAAUCCUUUCGGCCGAAUAUCUAAGGUUUCCAGAGUAAAGCUGAUCUGCUCUGGGUAAGUCGGGGCCUAAGCACAGGUCGCAAGACGUAAGCGAUGGAUAACAGGUUUAGAUUCCUGUACCACGCAUUAUCAGAACUGUAGGGACGCAUGUGGAAAGCACGAGCCGGGAAUGGAAAGACCGGUACAAGCGGGGUAGGUGUACAACAGGCAAAUCCGUUGUAUAAUCCGAAGACGUGAUGUGGAGCGAAAUAAAGUAGUGAAGCGUGUGAGCCAUGUGCCGAGAAAAGCUGCUAUUGUGUAAUGCGUGCCCGUACCGUAAACCGACACAGGUGGAUGAGGAGAGAAUCCUAAGGCCGGCGGAAGAAGCAUUGUUAAGGAAUUCGGCAAAAUGACCCCGUAACUUCGGGAGAAGGGGUGCCUGCGAGAGCAGGCCGCAGAGAAUAGGCUCAAGCAACUGUUUAGCAAAAACACAGGUCUAUGCGAAACCGAAAGGUGAAGUAUAUGGGCUGACGCCUGCCCGGUGCUGGAAGGUUAAGAGGAGAGGUUAGCGUAAGCGAAGCUUUGAAUUUAAGCCCCAGUAAACGGCGGCCGUAACAAUAACGGUCCUAAGGUAGCGAAAUUCCUUGUCGGGUAAGUUCCGACCCGCACGAAAGGCGUAAUGAUUUGAGCACUGUCUCGACAAUGCAUCCGGUGAAAUUGAAGUACCAGUGAAGAUGCUGGUUACCCGCGCCAGGACGGAAAGACCCCAUGGAGCUUUACUCCAGUUUGAUACUGGGAUUCGGUACUGCAUGUACAGGAUAGGUGGGAGACGAAGAAGGAUGGACGCCAGUCUGUCCGGAGUCGCUGUUGGGAUACCACCCCUGUAGUACUGGGUUUCUAACCAGUUGCCAUGAACUGGCAAUGGGACAAUGUCAGGCGGGGAGUUUGACUGGGGCGGUCGCCUCCGAAAGGGUAUCGGAGGCGCUCAAAGG